rnacentral:rRNA from 1 species
UACGGGGGGGCAAGCGUUGUCGGAAUUACUGGGCGUAAAGGGUCCGUAGGUGGCUUGCUAAGUCAGACGUGAAAUCCCCUCGGCUUAACCGGGGAACUGCGUCUGAUACUGCUGAGCUCGAGUCCGGAAGAGGAGUGUGGAAUUCCUGGUGUAGCGGUGAAAUGCGCAGAUAUCAGGAGGAACACCAAUGGCGAAGGCAGCACUCUGGGACGGUACUGACGCUGAGACGCGAAAGCGUGGGGAGCAAACAGG